UCUCGAUUAGUAUAGUGGUCAGUAUGCCAGCUUGUCACCAAACAUUGUUUGAACUCGCUGGAGACCGGGGUUCAAUUCCCCGAUCGAGAG